AUGUGGACUCUAGCCUCUCUCCAGUGGACUUCUUCUUCUUCACUUGCUCGCAACCCGACUCUUCAUGCCUUUUCAAGAUUUGAUUCAGUUGGAACCCCUGCAGAUGUUAUGCCAGGAGCUCGGGCUUUUAAUCCAAAAGAGUUGCUCAAGAAUUACCAUGUAAUUUGCAAACCUCUACGCGUUGCUCAAAUCCCAGUCAAGCAAACACAUG